rnacentral:lncRNA from 1 species
GAACGGAAUGAGACGGCUGGGAUUUAAAUCCUUGCUAUGUCCCUUAAAAGGAACAUACAGCACAAUAAUAAAAUGACAGCAAUAGUUAAUUAAAUGGUGAGUAACUCGAUACAUGUGAAUAUUGUGGAAACAAGCUAGCAUAAUGAGGAAACGAUUUACCUUAAUGCAGAUCCUCCAAAUCAAUUAUUUUAUUAACAUAAAUACAUAAUGAUGGCCCAACUAAAAUGCCUUUUUUCUCGAAGUUCAGCCACUUAAUGGUGUUUACAAGCCCAAUUAGAUGAGGAGCACACAAGCCACAUGACAUGAUCAUAAUAAACUAAAAUGCCUUUUUCUCGAAGUUCAGCCACUUAAUGGUGUUUACAAGCCCAAUUAGAUGAGGAGCACACAAGCCACAUGACAUGAUCAUAAUUAAAUUUGUCUGUGAGCAUAUUGGAACCUACAAGAGAAGAUCUCUGCUCCAUUCAAAUAAGUCCCCAUUAACCAAUGUACAUUCUAUCUUAAAUUGAAAUUUCAUUCACUGCAGAAUUUGAACAGUGCCACAAUCUGAUUUGC